rnacentral:rRNA from 1 species
UACGUAGGUGGCAAGCGUUGUCCGGAUUUACUGGGCGUAAAGGGCGUGCAGGCGGUUUGUUAAGUCUAGGGUGAAAGCUCCCGGCUCAACUGGGAGAGGUCCUUGGAUACUGGCAGACUUGAGGAGGGUAGAGGAGAGUGGAAUUCCCGGUGUAGUGGUGAUAUGCGUAGAUAUCAGGAGGAACACCGGUGGCGAAGGCGGGUCGUCUGGGCCGAUACUGACGCUGAGGAGCGAAAGCGUGGGGAGCGAACAGG